rnacentral:rRNA from 1 species
UGCCCAAAUACAUGCAAGUCGAACGCACAGCGAAAGGUGCUUGCACCUUUCAAGUGAGUGGCGAACGGGUGAGUAACACGUGGACAACCUGCCUCAAGGCUGGGGAUAACAUUUGGAAACAGAUGCUAAUACCGAAUAAAACUUAGUGUCGCAUGACACAAAGUUAAAAGGCGCUUCGGCGUCACCUAGAGAUGGAUCCGCGGUGCAUUAGUUAGUUGGUGGGGUAAAGGCCUACCAAGACAAUGAUGCAUAGCCGAGUUGAGAGACUGAUCGGCCACAUUGGGACUGAGACACGGCCCAAACUCCUACGGGAGGCUGCAGUAGGGAAUCUUCCACAAUGGGCGAAAGCCUGAUGGAGCAACGCCGCGUGUGUGAUGAAGGCUUUCGGGUCGUAAAGCACUGUUGUAUGGGAAGAACAGCUAGAAUAGGAAAUGAUUUUAGUUUGACGGUACCAUACCAGAAAGGGACGGCUAAAUACGUGCCAGCAGCCGCGGUAAUACGUAUGUCCCGAGCGUUAUCCGGAUUUAUUGGGCGUAAAGCGAGCGCAGACGGUUUAUUAAGUCUGAUGUGAAAGCCCGGAGCUCAACUCCGGAAUGGCAUUGGAAACUGGUUAACUUGAGUGCAGUAGAGGUAAGUGGAACUCCAUGUGUAGCGGUGGAAUGCGUAGAUAUAUGGAAGAACACCAGUGGCGAAGGCGGCUUACUGGACUGCAACUGACGUUGAGGCUCGAAAGUGUGGGUAGCAAACAGGAUUAGAUACCCUGGUAGUCCACACCGUAAACGAUGAACACUAGGUGUUAGGAGGUUUCCGCCUCUUAGUGCCGAAGCUAACGCAUUAAGUGUUCCGCCUGGGGAGUACGACCGCAAGGUUGAAACUCAAAGGAAUUGACGGGGACCCGCACAAGCGGUGGAGCAUGUGGUUUAAUUCGAAGCAACGCGAAGAACCUUACCAGGUCUUGACAUCCUUUGAAGCUUUUAGAGAUAGAAAUGUUCUCUUCGGAGACAAAGUGACAGGUGGUGCAUGGUCGUCGUCACCUCCUGUCGUGAGAAGUUGGGGUUAAAUCCCGCCACCAGCGCAACCCUUAUUGUUGUUUGCCGCCAUUCCAAUGGGGACUCUACCGAGAAAGGCGGGUGACAAACCGGAGGAAGGGGGGGGAGAAGAUAGAUAAUCAUGCGCCUUUUAACUGGGGGUACCCCCUGCUCCAUGGGGGUAAAAAACAAUUGCCACCCCGCCGGGGGGGCGAAUCCUUUAAA